rnacentral:lncRNA from 1 species
AAAAAUACAGGUAAUGGUGUUCUUUGCUUAUGAACACUGUUAAUUGGACUUCAUAUAAAGUGAUUUAAUUUUCCCUUUUUGACUUGAAAUAAUGAUCUUCAGUAGGAUUUUUCUGAAGAGAGGAUGUGAAACUGAAUUUCAGAAUGUGUGCCCUUUGGCAAGUCACUUAACUGCUUUGAUCCUCCAUUCCCUUACCAUGAGGGAGUUGAACUGGAUAACUUCAAACCCCUUCCAGGUCUAGAUCUGUGGCAUUGUAAAUUUAAUUAAACCCUUAUUAAAAACCUACUAUGUUCAUGUCAUUGUGUUAGGGCUGACCAUACGAAUACACAAAGGUAACAAUUACUGCCCUCAAAGAGUUUAUGUUCUAUUUGGCCACAAGUAUCUUUCCCACCACUGAAUUCACGCAUAGUUACAUCGGAUAUCCCAGCCAUAUACAAUUUUGUAGUGAAAACGCUAUCAAUACUGUGAUUACCUUUUAUAAUUUUUUUCUCCUUCCUAUCUUCUGAGCAGCCACUGUACUUGAGAGGACUAUUCCAAAAUCAAGAAAUGGAACACUCUGAGCAAAGGAAUAAGAAUUAAGUCAAGCCAGCAAGCAUUUAUUAUGGCCUUUCUAUGUGCCAGUCAUGUUGCUAAGCGCUGGCAAUACAAAUACUAGCAGAAAAACAGACCUGCCCUCAAGGAGCUUACAUUCUAAUGGGGUAAAAGAGAACAAUAAAAAAAAACUGGAGAGUAAGAAGUUGGGAAAGAGGAAGUUCUUGGAUAGACUGAGCUCACACUGAAAGGACUUACUAAAAACAUCACCUAACAAGUUGACUGCUUACAAGGUCAUAGCCAUCUCCAAAACUCCAGCUAAAAAUAAUAAUGAAUGCAACAGGAAGAGAGAUAACAGCAGGUCAUGCAUUCACAGGCCACACCUUUAUUCAAUUUUGAGUUUUCUCCAGAAUCAGGUUCCAGGAGUCAGCAAGUUCUCUUAACUGAAAUUUCCCACGCUGGUCUAAGGAUUCAAGAUCCUAUAAAGGUCCCAGAGAGUUGGCAGCCACAGCCCUGCUCCACCCGCCAUUUUGGAAGAUUCACUCUUCUUGCUUUUUACCUUUUGUCAAAUCUUGCCUACAAUACAAGUAUCUCUUUCACUUAUCUGCCAAUUAGUGGGGGUUGAAGAACUUCCCCCUCCUCUUUGGGGAAACUGCUAAAUCCCAUCUGUUCUGUGAAGUGGUCCAGAGACAAGAAAUGAGUGACCAUCUUUUACAUUGUCCUCAUCCAUUAAACCUUUAAUUUAUUUUUUAAAA